UGGCACAGCCAUAUCACCCUGCAGCCAAAGACCGCUUACUCACUGAACCUAAGCAGAGCUGAGCCUAGUCUGUACCAGGAUGGGAGACCACAUGGGAAAACUAGGUUGCUGUUGUAA
ensembl:rRNA 5S_rRNA 5S ribosomal RNA